GUUUAGUGGCGGUAUAAAGUACUGAGAGAGAGAGAGGGAGAGAGAGAGAGAUUAUAAAGCAGGGCAGGGAAAAAAAACUCUUGGGGGAAUGAAGAUAUGGCGGACGCCAAGCAGAAGCGGAACGAGCAGUUGAAGCGAUGGCUGGGUUCGGAGACGGACCUCGAGCCGCCGGUACUGAAGAAGAAGAAGACGAAGGUGAAGUUCGACGAGGGCGCCGUGUUCCUGGCCGCCUGCUCGAGCGGAGACACCGAGGAGGUGCUGCGGCUGCUGGAGCGCGGAGCCGACAUCAACUACGCUAAUGUGGACGGGCUAACCGCUCUGCACCAGGCGUGUAUAGAUGAUAACGUGGACAUGGUGACAUUCUUGGUGGAACACGGUGCCUGCAUCAAUCAGCCAGAUAACGAGGGAUGGAUCCCCCUGCACGCCGCCGCUUCCUGCGGAUACAUGGACAUCGCAGAGUAUUUGAUCAAUCAGGGUGCGAAUGUAGGCGUGGUUAACAGUGAGGGAGAGACGCCGCUGGACAUCGCUGAGGAAGAACCCAUGGAGGAGCUGCUGAAAAACGAAAUCAACCGACAAGGUGUGGAUAUAGAGGCGGCGAGGAAGGAGGAGGAGCGCAUCAUGCUACGUGACGCACGUCAGUGGCUAAAUAGCGGGCAAAUAAACGAUGUCAGACACGCCAAGUCAGGAGGAACGGCGCUGCACGUCGCCGCUGCUAAAGGCUACACGGAGGUUUUAAAGCUUUUAAUCCAGGCAGGUUAUGAUGUAAAUAUUAAAGAUUAUGACGGCUGGACUCCUCUUCAUGCUGCUGCUCACUGGGGGAAGGAUGAAGCCUGCAGGAUCCUGGUGGAGAACCUCUGUGACAUGGACGUCGUUAAUAAAGUGGGUCAGACGGCGUUCGACGUGUCGGAUGAAGAUGUCUUGGGAUAUUUAGAAGAGUUACAGAAGAAACAGAAUCUGCUGAUGAGUGAGAAGAAAGACGCUAAGAAAUCCCCUUUGAUAGAGACUACCACUACAGCGGAUAAUAACCAGUCCACUAAACCGGCCGUGAAGAGUAAGGAGACACUGUUACUGGAGGUGGAGAAGAACACUCCUCGCAUCGAGAACCUGGAGUCGGAGAAAGCUGAUGAUGUGGAGGAGGUGAAGAAGGACGAGUCGAGCUGCUCCAGUGAGGAUGAGGACGAAGAUGACUCGGAGUCUGAGAAUGAAGCAGAUAAGACCAAAUCAGCCGUUCCGGUCAGUAACUCCACCAGCUCUGUCCCCGCCCCCACCACCAUCCCAGUCUCCGCCUCCAGCAACACUCCAGUCACGCCCACCUCACCAGUCAAAAAGGUGAGUGUACCUGCAGGUAAAGUGUCCCCUAAAGAGGAGGAGAGGAAGGACGAGUCGCCGGCGUCAUGGAGACUGGGCCUGAGGAAGACAGGAAGUUACGGUGCGCUGGCGGAGAUCAGCGCCACUAAAGAGGCUCAGAAGGAGAAAGACCCUAGCGGGGUGAUGCGCUCUGCCUCCUCGCCUCGCCUCACCUCCUCACUGGAUAACAAGGACAAGGAGAAGGAGAAAGAGAAGUCUCUAGUGUAUGUGGCUCCCACUUUCCCAAGAAGACACCUGAGUGUAUCAGACAUGGACGAGAAGGAAAACAGGGACUCGGCUGCUACUCUGGUGCGCAGCGGUUCUUACACACGGAGACGCUGGGAUGAAGAUCUGAAGAACAACGACACAACCUCCUUGAACCGAAUGUCCAGCUACCAGCGCAGCACGUCACACACUUUAACACUCGGCCGAAGCAGCAGCUCUCGCGAUCUUCCUGCAAAAUCAUCUUCGGCUUCCAGUCUGGAUCCUACCAGCACUAAAGCCUCAUCGUCCUACUACCAGUCUUACAGCAUACACCGCAGCGGAUCGUUUGGAAGGAGGCAAGACGACGCUGUGAGCUCCACUUCCUCCACUGUUUCCACGACGACAAGUUCCACCUCCACUACCACUAUUACCUCACCUACAGGGCAUCGCAGUGUGUCCAGGUAUUGGUCCGAGGAUGGUGCUGAGAAAGAGAAGGAGUCAGCGACUGUAAUCCCCACCAUUAACACUGCAGCCACCACCACCACCACCACCACACACACUACUGCAGGAGAUGGCAGAGAGAGACGCAGAUCAUACCUCACUCCUGUGCGUGAUGAGGAGUCAGAGUCUCAGAGGAAAGCUCGAUCUCGACAGGCUCGACAGUCCAGAAGGUCCACACAGGGCGUGACCUUAACUGACCUCCAGGAGGCGGAGAAGACCAUUGGACGCAAUCGUCCAAUCCGGUCCCGAGAGGAAGAGAAGGAAAAAGAAGAGAAGGAAAAACAGGAUAAGGAGAAGAAGGAGGCGGAGACAAAGGAGGACGACUAUCGGUCACGCUAUCGCUUCGAGGAGCGAUUCCGCACCCCCUCCUUCAGCUCGUCCACUUCCACUACUGUGCCAACGUCCUCUGUCACUUCUUCCUCUCUCUACACUUCCUCCUCCUCUUCCUCGCUGAACCGCCCUGACAGUCUGAGUGGAAUCACGCCCAGCUACAGGAGCUCCGCCCGCGACACUGAGAAAGAUAAGAAAGAGGAGGAGAAGGAGGGAGAGGAUAAAACUCAGCCUCGCUCUAUACGUGAUCGCAGACGCCCUCGAGAGAAACGACGCUCUACCGGAGUCCCGUUCUGGACCCAAGAUAGUGAUGAGAAUGACCCAGAACAGCACUCGGACUCUGAGGAAGGAAGCACUAAAGCAGAACCUCAGAGUGAAAGACUCUUACGAAAUGAUGGCGUGUCCUCCGGUUCAUCCCUCACAGAUCGUUACGAUCACAGAGAGAGCCGCCGUUCCUACUCGCGCCUCGACCGAGAGGACAACACUGACUACAAGAAGCUUUAUGAACAGAUACAAGCUGAAAAUGAGAAGCUCAAGUCUCAGUUACGUGACACACAUCUUGAGUUGGAUGAUCUGAAGCGGCAGCUGGAGAAGGCCACACAGGUGAGGGGAUUACAGAGACAGGAGCGCUUCGCUGAUAGAUCACAGCUGGAGAUGGAGAAAAGGGAAAGACGAGCUCUAGAAAGAAAGAUCUCUGAGAUGGAGGAGGAGCUUAAGAACCUCCCGGAGAUAAAGCAGGUUCAGGCUCUGAGGCAGUAUAAUGAGCGAUUGCAGGCGGAGAACAGAGCUUUGGCCCGCGUUCUCUACAAACUGCCCGCUGCUGAUCUAUAAGCCCCGCCCACUCGGUUUUACACGUUCCGUUUUGGCUCCGCCCUCUCCUGUAGACAGACGCUACCCGACUUGAAGGCAGACAACCAGAGGCUAAAGGACGAGAACGGCGCUCUGAUCCGAGUCAUUAGUAAACUUUCUAAGUAGAGCAGUGCCCCCUGUGUUCAGUGUGGGGUAUUACAGGCUGAGAGCCGUGUUACAGCAAACACACAACAAAACACAUCCAUCCUCCUCUAUCUCUCUAUCACUCGCUCACUCUACUUGUCCUCUAAUGGCUCACUUCUUUUCUUGAUGUUUGGUCUGGCUGCUGCAGUACACUCACUCACUCGCGCACACACACACACUCACUCGCGCACACACACACACACACGUCGGCAGUUUACAGGGCAGAGAGAAGGCUUUAACCCACACGCCUUCGUUUGUACAGAAAAAAAGGAAAUAAAGAAAAACAGUUUAUUGGUGCCACAAAUUUUCCUUUAUUUUCCUUCUCCUUCCUGCACACUGAGUGUAUCUCUCUCGCCCACCUUCUCCCUCUCUCACUUUUUCCCUCUUUUAUCCUCCCUUUCAUGUAGAAGCCCCGCCCCAUUUGUUCUCCCUCUGUGGUACUGCUUCUCAGCAGCGGAUUUCCCAGGAUUCAGCAGUGUUGGUGCACGAAACCUGAACCCCCGCCAACCCUCCUCUCUCACACACACACACACACACACACUCACACACACUCACACACACACACUCACACUCACACACACACUCUCCUCUGUGUGAGUUCUGGUGGAAUGUUGAGCUUUCACUGAAUGUGCAAUACGCCUCCUUUAUAAACAACGCUUGAACUGGCAGCAGGAAGAAAAGUUCACUUCUUUCUCUCCUUCCUUUGUUCCCUUCGAUUCAGUGCUUGUCCCUCCCCCUUUUUUCGUUCUUCCACUUUCUUCUCAGUUCUCUGCUCUUAAUCUUUCCCUCUUCAUUCUUUUUUCCCCUCUGUACAUUAUUUUUAAAAUCCCAAGUUUUAUUUUUUUUGUUCUGUUUUUCUCCUCCCUCCUUCCUCCUUUCUUCCAUCUUCCUCACCACACUUCCUUUUUCCUCCUUCCUCCUUUACUUUUAUUCCUCCUCUCUCCAUCCUCUUCCUCCUCUCUCCAUCCUCCUCCUCUCUCCAUCCUCUCAUCCUCUUCCUCCUCCUCUCUCCAUCCUCUCAUCCUCUUCCUCCUCCUCUCUCCAUCCUCUUCCUCCUCCUCUCUUCCUCCUCUCAUCCUCUUCCUCCUCCUCUCUCCAUCCUCUUCCUCCUCCUCUCUCCAUCCUCUUCCUCCUCCUCUCUCCAUCCUCUUCCUCCUCCUCUCUCCAUCCUCUUCCUCCUCUCUACAUCCCCCAGGCCGUCAGUAGUGUGUGUAGUGUUUAGGCGGCGGUGUUUAAUUAAUCCUCACGGUGUUUUUAGCAGGUACUGAGUGAAGCUGUAUAUAUACCUGUACGUAUCGUAUUUGAGACGAGCACAUGGCAUGCGUUGAUGCUUUUCUCCGUCGGUUACUGUUCGAACAUCGCGGCUCCAGCGGACGAAAGUGUGUUUUAAAUAUUUUGUUGUUUUUCUUUUGUUUUUUUUAUUUUAUAGUGCUGUUGAAUAACGGUAGUGCCGCCGCCCCUCGUAUGGUAUAAGGGGAGGGGCUCCAGUGCAUCCUUUUUUCAGUUUUAAGAGAAAUAAAUAUUCACCGUAAUUGUGACAUAAGAAUAAUAUAAUACGACUUCACUACUUUUCACACGCGUUGAGUGCUCUUCUGUAUUUUAUUUUGUUUUCCUCCUCCUCCUCAGUGCUGUUAGUAUUAGCCGAGGUGUCGUCACUAAAAAAUUAAAGCCUAGAUACCGCUAACCCCAGUCCUUCCUUUAUUCUUCUUCUUUUUUUUUUUUUUUUUUUUUUUUACAUUUUAAAUAAAAACAUCUACAUGCACUGUCCACGCCAUGGCUGGAGUCUCGUGUCCAUUAUUUUUUAUCGAGAGUCAGAGCGAAUCAGAGAUUUUAUGCAUUUCAGUGGCCUUUUAAAAUGAAAAUGCUGUAGUUUAAAGAGAAGAGCGGGGAAAAGACUGUUGGACUCUCCUCUUUGGUUUAGGUUUUUAAUUUUUUUUUUUUUUUUUAAAUGUUUAUUUUUCCUCCUUUUUUUAUUUUAAAUAUCCCAUCAUUGUAUAAUAGAUGUGUGGCUUCCUACAUGCGAGCUGUGCUGUGACUACCAACCACUGAGAGUUCAAAUAAAGUUGUACAUUGUAAAAACUC